UGCUCUUCGGUGAUCUGACAUUCCUAAGCAAAGAGGAAGGAACCAGAAGGCACCCUGCCGUGAUUCCAUGCUGUGAUCCAGCUAUGCAGAACAGUUCCACCGGAACAGACCUACAGGGAACCCCUCAUCUUCUCUGUACUUCAUUCAGCGUGGGGCUGGGUGCAGUACGAAGACGGUGGACACACCAUGUCUGCAGCUGCCUUGAGAUGCCACCUUUACCGAGCCACUACCAUUCCCCAGGAGAGGCUGGAAACGCAGUCAUUAGCACAGGCUAGACCAUAUUACCGCCUGGCAAGGCAAUGACCCUGCUUUUGGCCAGGAGGCAGGCAGAAGUGAGGAGAACUAUUUGUACCCGUGGACGCCUUUGCCCGUGGGUUGACAGGGUCACAUGAGGAAACGAACAUAAACGAACAACUUCCAAACAUUUGGAUGUUACAGGGAACCUUUGCAGGGCCCCAUCUGUGGGUGCUAGCUCACCUCUGGUCCACCCUCUGACUCCCUAAGAUAUCAUCUUCAUGGUAAAUGCCAAGUUAUAAUCUCAUGGUGACUGAUUUGCAAUAAAUAAAUGAUAAUGUACUA